rnacentral:rRNA from 1 species
UCGGCCCUCGGCUGACGGCUCAGUAACACGUGGACAAUCUGCCCUAGGGUGGAGGAUAAUCUCGGGAAACUGAGGACAAUACUCCAUAGGUCUAGAAUGCUGGAAUGCAUUUAGGCUUAAAGCUCCGGCGCCCUAGGAUGAGUCUGCGGACUAUCAGGUUGUAGUCAGGGUAAUGACCUGACUAGCCUACGACGGAUACGGGUUGUGAGAGCAAUAACCCGGAGACGAUAUCUGAGACACGAUAUCGGGCCCUACGGGGCGCAGCAGGCGCGAAAACUUCACACUGUGCGAAAGCACGAUGAGGGAAUCCCAAGUGCCAGCACGUUAGUGUUGGCUGUUUCUCUGUCUAGAGAACAGAGAGAGUAAGAGCUGGGUAAGACGGGUGCCAGCCGCCGCGGUAAUACCUGCAGCUCAAGUGGUGGCCGCUAUUAUUGGGCCUAAAACGUCCGUAGCCGGUCUAUUAAAUGCCUGGGUAAAUCGUGUAGCUUAACUAUACGAAUUCCGGGUAGACUGUUCAACUUGGGACCGGGAGAGGCUAGAGGUACUCCUGGGGUAGAGGUGAAAUUCUGUAAUCCUAGGGGGACCACCAGUGGCGAAGGCGUCUAGCUAGAACGGGUCUGACGGUGAGGGACGAAGCCCUGGGGAGCAAACGGGAUUAGAUACCCGGGUAGUCCCAGCCGUAAACGAUGCAUGCUAGGUGGUUGGGGUUGGCCACAAGCCACCCCAGUGCCGCAGGGAAGCCGUUAAGCAUGCCGCCUGGGAAGUACGAUCGCAAGAUUGAAACUUAA